rnacentral:rRNA from 1 species
GACGAACCGUGCAAACGUUGUUCGGAAUCACUGGGCUUAAAGGGCGCGUAGGCGGGUUCCCAAGUCGGUGGUGAAAUCUUUCAGCUCAACUGGAAAAGUGCCGCCGAUACUGGGAGUCUUGAGGGAGGUAGGGGUCGAUGGAACUGGUGGUGGAGCGGUGAAAUGCGUAGAUAUCACUAGGAACGCCGGUGGCGAAGGCGGAUCUCUGGACAGUUACUGACACUGAGGCACGAAGGCCAGGGGAGCAAACGGG